UUAACUCAUAUUUGUAUGGAAUGGGAUCGUUUGCGUACGUUUGCCGCUAGGGGCGCUGUUCCAAUUGCAUACAAAAUUGGCUUA
rfam:Bombyx mori DNA, contig: Bm_scaf5_contig4421, strain: p50T/Dazao, build 2, whole genome shotgun sequence.